GGAUGACUGGUUGGCAGAGAGCUUUAGUCCAGAUUGGUAUUGCCUUACUAAUUUUUCUUUUUAUUCUCGCUCUUCUCAUUUGUUGUGUCCUCCCAUGCCUAAGGAAAUUCCUGCAGAAAACUGUGGACCAAGCAACACCAACCUUCACUCAUCUGACAAUCGAUGAUCAAGACCUCAUCUCACCCUGUAUUCCGCUACAAACUCUCCCUUAUACUGAUGAAGUGCAGAAAGUCUAGGAAGGGACAGUACAGGGACAGCGUCCGUCUUUAUGGGUAGACUGCCGUACGGAGAAGUAGUGGAUAAGCCACUAUGGGUUACCAGUGGAGUGAAGAGUGUUCCUGAACCGUACUGACGGAUGUGCUGCAG